AUACGGAGGAUGCGAGCGUUAUCCGGAUUUAUUGGGUUUAGAGGGUGCGUAGGCUGUGCGUUAAGUCAGGGGUGAAAUGCCGUCGCUCAACGACGGAGCUGCCCUUGAUACUGGCGUGCUGGAGUACGGAUGCCGUUGGAGGAAUGAGUGGUGUAGCGGUGAAAUGCUUAGAUAUCACUCAGAACACCGAUUGCGAAGGCAUCUGAAGAAUCCGUCACUGACGCGGAGGCACGAAGGCGUGGGGAUAGAACAGGAUUAGAUACCCUGGUAUUCCACGCCGUAAACGAUGAUGACUAACCGUCGGCGAUAGACAGCCGGUGGCCAAGCGAAAGCGAUAAGUCAUCCACCUGGGGAGUACGUCGGCAACGAUGAAACUCAAAUGAAUUGACGGGG
rnacentral:rRNA from 1 species